ACUCCCACAACCUGAAAGUGCAGAGAGUUAACUACCAGUCUCAUCUCUUUCUUCACUUUCACAUGACAGAGCUGAUCCCAUCAUCACUAAACAGCGGUUGGAAACUUGACAAUGGUAAAUGUGUCCCCCUUAGAUACACAAAGCCAUGCCUAUCCAAAGACCUUCUGGGAUCCUUGCAGGACGUGGCUGAAGAUGACAUGUCUGAUGAAAGUGAUGGAGACAAUGAUUACAGUUAGAGGAAAAAAUACCAAAA